rnacentral:rRNA from 1 species
UACGUAGGUGGCGAGCGUUAUCCGGAAUUAUUGGGCGUAAAGAGCGCGCAGGUGGUUGAUUAAGUCUGAUGUGAAAGCCCACGGCUUAACCGUGGAGGGUCAUUGGAAACUGGUCGACUUGAGUGCAGAAGAGGGAAGUGGAAUUCCAUGUGUAGCGGUGAAAUGCGUAGAGAUAUGGAGGAACACCAGUGGCGAAGGCGGCUUCCUGGUCUGUAACUGACACUGAGGCGCGAAAGCGUGGGGAGCAAACAGGAUUAGAUACCCGU